rnacentral:lncRNA from 1 species
UCAAUGUCAAACUUAUAAUGUUCAAACUUAUGAUUUCUCGAUCUCUAAGUAAACUGAUAAAUUCAAAUGAUAUUGAUCACACUAUCAAUUCAUUUGAGCACGACCAUGCAUUUCUCAGUCUCACUUAUCGAGGGGCCCAGAAGAUAUCUCUCUCAUAGAGAGGGACAAAUCCUAUCUUGAUUGUUCAUUAUCCUCUAUAUAAUUUCUAUUAUGCUCAAUCAUAACCUUUACGAUUGUCCGAUUAAAGACAACGUUUGGUUAUGUCAAAACAUAAUAGUCCUUAUGUUGGAAACUAUGACAAUCUCAAGUCAAAGGAUUAAGACAUAACUACUUUUGAGAUUUACUUAUGACAAUGACCCAUGUAGUGAUCUCAAUGCGGGUCCAUCCAAUACUUUGUUCUCUAACAAGUAUUUAUGAUUAUUGAAUUAUAUCAACAUAUACAUAAUCAUCUCAUGAUUAUCAAUCAAUAAUCAUACCAGUUAUAUUUUAUUAUUAUCAACAUAAUAAUAAGUAACCAGGGAUGAUAAUCAUUAUUAUGUAACAUGCAAACAAAUAAUAAUGAUAAAAACCUCUUCAUUAAUAACCAAAACGACAUACAAAAAGGUCCAAGAUAAUGGCCUAGGGCAUAUACACUAACAAUCUCCCACUUGCAUUAGGCCUAAUCAUAUAAGUAUCUAAUACCUAUAGACCUAGUGUGCUGAUCAUGCUUGACCUGUGAAAGAGGCUUGGUCAGUGGAUUUGCAAUGUUGUCAUUUGUGUCUACUUUGCAUAUUUUGAUAUCUCCUCUUAUCAAUGAUCUCUCGAAUAAGGUGAUAUCGCCUGAGUAUAUGUUUAGAUCUCUGGUGAGAUCUGGGCUCCUUUGCCUGUGCUAUGGCACUAUUAUUACCAUAAUAAAGGUCCAUAGGAUUUGCAAUGCUGGGAACCAUUCCUAACUCUGAGAUGAAUUCCUUCAACCAGACUGCCCUUUUAGCUGCAUCUGAUGCUGCUAUAUACUCAGCUUCUAUUGUAGAAUCUGCUAUAGUGCUCUGCUUGGAACUCUUCCAACUAACAACUCCACCAUUUAAAUUGAAUACGAAUCCUGACUGCGAUCUGAAGUCAUCUUUGUCGGUUUGAAAACUAGCAUCUGUGUAACCACUUACAACUAGCUCGUCUUCCAAACCUCCAUAAACUAGGAAUGCAUCCUUAGUCCUUCUAAGGUACUUUAGGAUAUUCUUAAUAGCUGUCCAGUGACUUUCACUGGGAUCUGCUUGAUAUCUGCUUGUUGUGCUUAAUGCAUAUGAGACGUUUGAUCUAGUACAUAACAUGACAUACAUGAUAGAUCCAAUAGCAGAAGCAUAAGGAAUCUUAUUCAUUCUUUCUCGCUCAUCAGAUGUCAUAGGACAUUGAUUCUUGCUGAGAUGAAUACCAUGAGACAUGGGCAAGAAUCCUCUUUUGGAAUCUUGCAUGCUGAACCUUUUCAGCACCUUGUCAAUAUAAGUACUUUGACUCAAACCGAUUAUCCUCUUGGAUCUAUCCCUAUAGAUCUUAAUACCAAGGAUAUAUGCAGCCUCACCUAAGUCCUUCAUUGAAAAAGAAUUCUCUAACCAAGUCUUAACCUUUUGCAAGGUAGAGAUAUCAUUUCCAAUGAGUAAUAUGUCAUCCACAUAUAGGACUAGAAACACAAUUGCACUCACACUAACCAUCUUGUAAACAAAAGGUUCAUCUUCAUUUUUGAUGAAUCCAAAGUCUUUGACUGUCUCAUUAAAACGAAGAUUCCAACUCUGAGAAGCUUGCUUCAAUCCAUAAAUGGAUCUCUGAAGCUUGCAAAUCUUUCCAGAAUUCUCAAGGAUUACAAAACCCUGAGGUUGUGUCAUGUACACAUCCUCGAGCAAAAGUUCACGACUGUCAGUCAUGAGAAAUCCAUAUCUCUCAGGCUGAUGACGUGUCCUAUCAGAUCUGCGAGGGACUUGUGUCACCCUUUCAGUUUCCACAAUUGUUUGUGGUUUUGAAAGUGGUUCUACCAGCGGUUCAAUGCUCUCUUGUGGUACUUGAGUUUCUUCAAGUCGCAAUGUACUCCCACUGAAUCUCUGAGAGAUAAAUUCCUUUUCUAAAAAGGUACCAUUUCGAGCAACAAACACUUUGUUCUCUGAGGGAAUAUAGAAAUAGUAUCCUUUGGUUUCCUUAUAAUACCCCACAAAAUUGCACUUGAUAGAUUUUAGAGCUAGCUUAUUUGAGCGUUUCACAUAAGCCUCACAACCCCAAAUCUUAAGGAAAGACAAACUGGACAUUUUGCCAGUCCAUAACUCAUAUGGUGUCUUUUCAACCGCUUUCGAUGGUACUCGGUUUAGAAUGAAUGCAGCUGUUUCCAAGGCAUAACCCCAAAAUGAUAAAGGGAGAUUUGUUUGACUCAUCAUAGAUCGAACCAUAUCUAAUAAAGUUCGAUUUCUCCUUUCAGAAACACCAUUCCAUUGUGGAGUUCCUAGAGGAGUCAAUUGUGAAACAAUUUCACAGUUUCUAAGAUGUUCAUCAAACUCUUGGCUCAAAUAUUCACCACCUCGAUCAGAUCGAAGCAUCUUAAUAGUUCUACCAAGUUGAUUUUGUACUUCAUUUUGAAAAGUUCUAGACAUUUCAAAAGAUUCAUGCUUAUGUUUCGUUAGGUAGACAUAGCCAUACCUACUAAAAUCAUCAGUGAAUGUAAUGAAGUACUGAUAACCUCCCCUGGCACUAAUGCUUAGUGGGCCACAUACAUCUGUAUGUAUUAAGCCCAAUAAGUCUGAAGCCCUUUGACCUUGUCUAGUAAAAGGGUCCUUUGUCAUCUUACCAAGCAAAUAAGAUUCACAAUUUUCAAAUGAUUCAAAAUCAAAAGAAUCUAAUAAACCAUCCUUAUGGAGCUUAGAUAUGCGAUUCUCAUUUAUAUGGCUAAGACGAUAGUGCCAUAAAUAUGUUGGGUUUAACUCAUUUGACUUAGUUUUCUUAGAAGUUAUGUUUAUAGAUAUUGUUGUCUCUAGAAUCAUCUAGAUUAAGGAUAUAAAGGCCGUCAUAUGAAUUUGCAAUACAAUAAAGCAAAUCAUCUUUAUUGAUGGAGCAUUUCUUAUUCUUAAUAAGAAAUGAAAAACCUUCAUCGUCCAAAACAGAAACUGAAAUAAUAUUCCUACUCAAAGUAGGAACAUAGAAGCAAUUGUUCAAAACUAACAAAAACCCAUUGGGCAACUCAAGUUCAUAAGUCCCUAUAGCUAAGGCAGCAACUCUUGCUCCAUUGCCUACACGUAGGUCCACAUCGCCCUUUUUCAGUUUUCUACUCCUUUUGAGACCCUUCACAUUUGUACAAAUGUGAGAACCACAUUCGGUAUCUAAUACCCAUGAAGUAGAAAUAGAUAAAUUAAUAUCUAUAACAUAAAUACCUGAAGUCAUAGUCUCACUACUCUUCUUCUUCUUGCACUCAUCCAAAUAGAGUUUGCAAUUUCUAUUCCAAUGCCCUGGUUCCUUGCAAUGGAAGCAGAUUCCUUCCUUAGGAACUAUUUCCUUAGGAAUUUUUGUCUUGGAUUGCCAUUUAGGCUUGCCUCGUCCCUUAGGCCCAUUAACUUUCAGUUUAUCCUUCUCAAGGAUGGAUCGCAGUGAUAAGGUGGAAUUGUUAUUAGCAGCCAUAAUUAUCUACAAAAAUAUGCAAACAUAAUUAAUUUAGUAAAUUAAUAUUGAGGCGAUAAUAAUCUCCCACUAAAAUACAACCCUCAAAAUAAUAAUAAUAUUUUAGUGGGCUAAGAUCCAUAUUUCACCUAAUUCUAAGUCAGCUUUGGCAUGAUGCUUAGAAUUAAGUUAUUUAGGUAGGUAACCGCUUACCAAUUACAUCUAAUGUAACUCUUAGAUUAUGAGGUGCUGACAUCAUAUGUCAAAUGCAUGUUAUACCCCAUCUAAUGCCUUAGGCCCAAAACCGUUUUGAUAGCCUAAUUAAGCUCAACCAAAAUUAAAUAAAUGAGUAACUAUUACUCAUCCUAUCUUACUAGGAUAACCUAAUGCACUUUGCUUUGGCAAAACCUGCAUUUGGGUGAUCUUAGUCUUGAUAGGUGUUUAAUAUAUGGGUGGCAUUAAAACUUAAAAUUUUAGAGUGAGGGUUCAUCUUUUAAUUUUAAUUAUUUUGUCUUGCAUAUAUAUAUUAUAGCUAUAUGCAUACACAAUAAUGCAUAGUAUCUCAUACUAACAUAUAAUAAAAUAAUAAAAUAUAGUCAUUUAAAUCUGAUUUAAAGACUAAAAGAAAAUAAUUUAAAAUUUAUUUUCUUAUAAUUAUUUUGUCUUGCAUAUAUAUAUUAUAGCAUCCUAUAUGCAUAUAUAUACAUAUAAACAAUAAUGCAUAGUAUCUCAUACUAAUAUAUGACAAAAUAAUAAAAUAUAGUCAUUUAAAUCUGAUUUAAAGACUAAAAGAAAAUAAUAAAAUAUAGUCAUUUAAAUCUGAUUUAAAGACUAAAAGAAAAUAAUUUAUUUUCUCAAAUUUAUUAUUAUUAUUAUUUUUAUUCCAGGGGCAGAAUUGUAAUUAGGGCAUCUUCUUCCUAAGGAGAAACCCUAGCCGCCGCCCCACUGUUGCCCAACCCGUCGGCGCGCAGCCCGCUGGCGCGCGACACGCCGGCGCACGAAGCGAGCCACGCCAGUGCGCGACCCACGUCGAGUGACCCCUCGGGCGCGCGACCCACGGGUGUGCGAUCCACUGGUCGCGCGACCCAUUGGGCGCGCGACCUGCCGGGCGCGCGACUCCUGUGGGCGCGCAAUCCUCCGUGCGCGCGACACUCUCGGGCAGGCCUUCUCAGUCACUGCGUUCUAGGCAGCGACGCCGGCCAGGCUCGUGACGGUCGAAGAACCCGUCGUUCCUCGCCGGCGGCAGUAAAGACACUCUCUGCAGGUGGUCGCGAUGAUGGAAGGAGCGUCACACGCCCUCCACAUCCGCCUAUCAGCUUCGCCAAUUUCUAGGUUCACGAUGACUGCUCAUCGUGGAUCCAGUUGCAAUUUUUCUUUUAAAUUAAUUUAAUUUUUCUAACAAAAAUUAAAAUUAUCUAAAUGAUCUAAUCAUUCAUCCAUAAUUAUCAUGUCUUUCUAAUAAACAUAUAUCGCAUAUAUAAUAUCAAUCAUGGCAUAAUUAAUUUAAACGAAAAGCACAGGUUGGCUCUGAUACCAUUGUUGGGAAAUUCCAGAGAUUAUUGCAAACCAGUUGCGCAGCGGAAAAAUAAAAUCUCUGUUGAUUUCCUUUCCCAUAAUCCGAGUGCUUCGUUUAAUUCAAAGGAUGGAUAUGAGACUAACCUGUUAAUCUCGUCAAGAAGAUACAAUGCCGGACUGAUGGUGCUGCUUUUUGAAACGAACACCCUCUAUGGUAUCCACACGAAUGUCUCCUAUCCUUCUAGAGUGGUAGCUCUCUCAAAUAUGGAUAGAUUAUGUGCUCCACAAUCUGCAACUAUUAGACUGAGUUUUCUCAAAACGUCGUCCACCCCCACAAUUCGUAGUAGGAGUAUUUAUAUAUUUCAGUCUUUUGUUUUCCACCAACUCUUUUCCUAAAAGAGUUGUGCUCAGAACCCACUAUCACAAUCUCGUAGAUACUCAAAUAUCUUAUGUGAUAGAGUCCUUUAUCUGUAACACUUACAGAUAGACUGCAGAUCUUUUAAAUAUUAUUAUCUCAUAAUAAUAAAUAAUUAAUAAUAAUAACACUUUAUUAUUAUUAACUAUAUUAAUAAUUAAUAUCAAUAAUAAUAAUAACACUUUAUUAUUAUUAUUAAUUAUAUUAAUGAUUAAUAAUAAUAACACUUUAUUAUUAUUAAUUAUAUUAAUGAUUAAUAAUAAUAACACUUUAUUAUUAUUAAUUAUAUUAAUGGGCUUUGGGCUUUUAGCCCAUUAAUAUGACAUAGCACAUCAACAACGUUCUUUUAUGUGUGACCCAAUAGGCUCACAUUAAUUAGCAAUAGGCCCAGUCCCACAAGGCCCAUAAGUCAUAAGUGGCCUCUAGCAAGACAUUAUGACUACCCAACUAAUAUGAGGAUCAAUAGUCCAAUAAAGCCUAAUAAAUAGAACAUGAAUUAAUCCCUUUGUCACACGAUAUCUAGUUUGAACAUAAGUCAUGGUCAAUGUCAAACUUAUAAUGUUUAAACUUAUGAUUUCUCGAUCUCUAAGUAGACUGAUAAAUUCAAAUGAUAUUGAUCACACUAUCAAUUCAUUUGAGCACAGUCAUGCAUUUCUCAGUCUCACUUAUCGAGGGGCCUAGAAGAUAUCUCUCUCAUAGAGAGGGACAAAUCCUAUCUUGAUUGUUCAUUAUCCUCUACAUAAUUUCUAUUAUGCUCAAUCAUAACCUUUAUGAUUGUCCGAUUAAAGACAACGUUUGGUUAUGUCAAAACAUAAUAGUCCUUAUGUUGGAAACUAUGACAAUCUCAAGUCAAAGGAUUAAGACAUAACUACUUUGAGAUUCACUUAUGACAAUGACCCAUGUAGUGAUCUCAAUGCGGGUCCAUCCAAUACUUUG